GACGAACGCUGGCGGCGUGCUUAACACAUGCAAGUCGAACGGAAAGGCCCUGCUUUUGUGGGGUGCUCGAGUGGCGAACGGGUGAGUAACACGUGAGUAACCUGCCCUUGACUUUGGGAUAACUUCAGGAAACUGGGGCUAAUACCGGAUAGGAGCUCCUGCUGCAUGGUGGGGGUUGGAAAGUUUCGGCGGUUGGGGAUGGACUCGCGGCUUAUCAGCUUGUUGGUGGGGUAGUGGCUUACCAAGGCUUUGACGGGUAGCCGGCCUGAGAGGGUGACCGGCCACAUUGGGACUGAGAUACGGCCCAGACUCCUACGGGAGGCAGCAGUAGGGAAUAUUGCACAAUGGGCGGAAGCCUGAUGCAGCAACGCCGCGUGCGGGAUGACGGCCUUCGGGUUGUAAACCGCCUUCGCCUGUGACGAAGCGUGAGUGACGGUAAUGGGUAAAGAAGCACCGGCUAACUACGUG
rnacentral:rRNA from 1 species